rnacentral:rRNA from 1 species
UCAGACGAUGCGUCAUGCAUAUCAAUAAGCGGAGGAAAAGAAACUAACAAGGAUUCCCCUAGUAACGGCGAGUGAAGCGGGAAGAGCUCAAAUUUGAAAUCUUAAAGGGUUUCCCUUUACGAAUUGUAGUUUAAAGAAGUGUUUUCUGUUGAGGUUUUGGUAAAAGUUCUUUGGAAUAGGACAUCAUAGAGGGUGAGAAUCCCGUAUUUGACCUUUACUUUCAACUUUGUGAUACACUUUCAGAGAGUCGGAUUGUUUGGGAAUGCAGUCCAAAAUGGGUGGUAAAUUUCAUCUAAAGCUAAAUAUUGGCGAGAGACCGAUAGCGAACAAGUACCGUGAGGGAAAGAUGAAAAGAACUUUGAAAGGAGAGUUAAACAGUACGUGAAAUUGUCAAAAGGGAAAGCGUUUGACACCAGUGUUGUUUUUCUGAAAAUCAAUUAAAGAACUGUUUAUGCUAAGCUGUUUAGACUUUAUCAGCUAUCUGUUUAGUUUUGAGCUUUUCUUUAAUGCACUUUUCAGUUAACAAGUCAACAUCAAUUUCUUUUGCUGUAAAAAAGCUUGAGGAAGGUGGCUUGAGAUUCGUCUUAAGUGUUUAUAGCCUCUUGCCUAUGCAGUCGGAGAGAUUGAGGUCUGCAGCGUAGAUCCUUCGGGGCUAAAUGCAUUUGUGCUAAGUUAUAGCAUUUUAUAGACAACUUGUUGACUAUGAUUUGUCUUGUAGCUUACUCGCUUAUGUUAUUUUACCUACGCUUAGGAUGUUGAGCGCAUGUCUCUCUCU